GCGGGGGUGCGGCCGGUUUGAACUGCCGGCCGGGCCGGCUCUGCCUUCCCCCGCCGAGGGGGGCCGGGACCCGCUGGGCCCGGCUCGGUUCCCCUCACGGAGCCGGGGGUGCGCUGCGGAGAGCGAGGUUACUUUGUGCUCUUUCAAAAUGAAUGGUGAAGAGGAAGUAUGGGGAAAACUCGAUGCAGAAUUUGAUCACUGUGUUGUGGAUAUGAAGCCUCAUGUUCUAAAACUCCAGCAUAGGUCAGAACGACAGAGAUGUGCAUUGUGGAUUAAAAAGCUAUGUGAACCCUCUGGAGCGGGCACAGGAGUAGCGGGCAGGAAGAAUCGGAAUCUAUAUGCAAAACUCCUGCUCCAUAUGCUAAAGCGGGGUGUGCUGGAAGGUCCUUUUACGCAUAAACCAGAACCAGGGAUACUGAAAACUUUACCUUCGUACAUGUCAAUUUAUUUUGAUGAACCAAAUUCAAGAAGAGUUCGGAGUAGUAGCCCAGACUGCUUACCUGACUGGGUAAUGGGAGAACUGGGAAGCAAUGACUCUAAGCAUGAGGUAUCCUGGAGUAUAUCUUCUAAAGAGGAAUUUUCUUUAGCAACACCACCUACAUACGGGGAAAGAUUCAAGUACAAUGAGAAGCCAUCAUUAAGAUCACAUUCUAUGAGUCCUCCUCACCGGACAGCUGAAGAUAACCCAGCCACACCACAGUCUGACCAUCGUCAUAAAAAACCCAGUUCUUUGGAUGACAGUGACCUCGAAGCACGUCUCAAUAGUUGGAAUCUUGGGUUAGAAAAUCCAAGAUACUUGCGAGAAAAACCAAUGCCAGUGUCUUUGAUGACACCCAAAAUGGACCGAGGAAAAAGCAGCCCUGUACGUGAUGAGCAGGCGCUGUUUCGAAGAGAGCUGGACAUUAAAAUGAAAAUAGCGGAAGGUAAAUUUCAUGAAGAAAAGCUUAAAUUACAGCAAAAGCACGAUGCUGAUGUUCAAAAGAUUUUGGAUAGAAAGAAUGAUGAAAUCGAGGCCUUGAAGUCCCUCUACAAAACCAAACAAAGUGAAGCUGAGGAGACUAUUAGAAAGCUGGAGACCAAAGUUCAGACCCUUCUUCGUGAGUCGCAAGUCGUCAGAGAAGCGAAAGAGAAGCAGAUUGUGGAGUUAAAGAAGAUGUGUGAGCAAAGCAAUGAGUCUUUGAACAAUGAAUGGGAGAAAAGGCUUCAUAAUGCUGUGGCUGAAAUGGAGAAGGAGAAGUUUAAUAUUCGGAAGAAGCACACAGAAGAUAUGCAGGAGCUGCUGGAGGACACCAACACUCGUCUUGACAAAAUGGAGGAAGAUUAUUUGGAACAGAUAAAGUCAACUAACCAGACUGUCAAAGAACUGGAGGCUCGUGUCCAGCAGUUGACUGUUGAGGCUGAAAAUAGUAAUUUACAGCGUCAGAAAUUAUCUCAAGAAAAGGCUGAUGCAGAACAGCGUUACCAGGUGGUGUGCUCUGAACUUCAGGAUGUGAAAGCAAGGCACAGCUCACUUCAGAAAGACAAGGACCGUAUUAUACAGGAAUAUGAGAAGAACAUUCAGCAACUACAAAGUAAAUAUGAUGUUGAUAUAAAUUUUAUAAAGCAGGAACAUGCUCUCUCUGCAGCUAAGGCAUCUGAUGCGAUUGAAGAAUUGCAGCACAGUGUGGCUCUAUUAAAACAACAGCUACAAGAUUCAGAACAUCAAAGACAGCAACAGCUGAGGGAUCAAGAAUACAAGCUUCAACAGGAGAAACUUCACUUGGAGCGUGUAUAUGAAAAACAGAUUCAUGGCAUCCGAAAUGAUCUUGAUAAAGAAAGAGGGGAUGCUCAGAAGAAAAUUCGCAAACUGGAAGAAGCUUUGAAGGAGAAGGAGGAGCAGCUGACUCGGGUGACAGAGGUACAGAGGCUGCAGGCCCAGCAGGCAGAUGCUGCCCUGGAGGAGUUUAAGCGGCAGGUGGAGCUGAAGUCAGAAAAAGUCUAUGCUGAAAUGAAACAGCAGAUGGAAAAGGUUGAAGCAGAUCUAAGCAGAUCAAAAUCGCUCCGGGAAAAGCAAUCCAAAGAAUUCUCUUGGCAAUUGGAAGAGCUCAAGCAGAGAUAUGAGCAACAGAUAGUGGAGCUGAAGCUGGAGCAUGAACAGGAGAAGACGCACCUAUUCCAGCAGCACAACGCAGAGAAGGACUGCCUGGUCCGAGACCACGAACGGGAAAUCGAGAAACUGGAGAAGCAGCUUCGCGCUGCCAUGGCAGAGCACGAGAGUAAAACUCAAGAAUGCAGGAAGCGAGACGGGCAGGUUAUCUGUGAUAUGGAGAACCAAAUCCACAAGCUGAAGGAAGAGCUUAUUCAGGUGAAUACUCAGCGGAAGCAGCAGCUGCUGGAGCUGGGCCAUCAGUGGGAAGAGGAGAAGCAGAGGGCAGCUCGAGACCAUGAGGUGGCAGUGAACAAGCUGAAAGUGGAGGCAGAAAGAAAGAUGUUAGACCUGAAAAGGAUACAUACAGCAGAAACAGAGAAGGCUUUAGACAAGGCAAACUGCCGGCUGAAGCAGGCUGAAAAGGAGUACGGUCAGAAGCUGGCUAAAUCCUCGCAGAUCAUAGCUGAACUUAAGACAACCAUUUCCUCUCUGACAGAGGAGAGCAGCCGGCAGCAGCUUGCCGCAGAGCAGCGGCUCCAGGAAGUUGUACAAAAGUUUGAAGAUAAGAAGCAGCAGCUGAUUACAGAUAAUGACAGAGCAAUCAAGGCCUUACAAGAUGAAGUGGAAAGUUACCACAGUCUGGCACGGGCUGCAGAGAAGAAGCUGCAACACAGGGAGCUGGAGACCCACGAGCAGAUGACCCAUAUACGACAAGAAUAUGAAGCCACACUCAAAGGCCUGAUGCCAGCAACUUUGAGACAGGAACUUGAAGACACCAUUGUAUCUUUGAAAUCUCAGGUAAAUAUUCUGCAGAAAAGAGUCUCUGUCCUCCAGGAAGAGCUGAACGUCUACCAGGCCAGAAGGUAGCUGCUGGAGCUGUUGGAUUUCUUCGGUUGCCAAAUGGACUGCUUUGAAUAGAUUGCCUCAGUAUCCAUUCUUUUGACUUUCAACAAAAGCAUCUCAAGGCCAGGUUGGACGGGGCUUGGAGCAACCUGCUCUAGUGGGAGGUGUCCCUGCCCGUGGCAGGGGCUUGGAACUAGAUGAGCUUUAAGGUCCCUUCCAACCCAAACCAUUCUAUCAUCUACACAGAGAGGUGCAGGACAGUGAUGGUUGCACUCUUCGGGAGGAGCACCAAGAGCUCGCGCUGGGAUUUACCUGCUGGGUAUUGCCCUGUGUCCUAAUAGGCAGGAGGACAGUGAAAUCUCUCUUCUCAUGCAUGAAGGAAAUAAGGCAUUUUUAAUAUUGCUGUUCUGCUUGUGUGUCUGCAUGAAUUCCAGGUGGUUACAGUGCUUUCGAAAGCAGUAAGGGGAAUAUGUCCAGACAGAAAGACAUGGACCCUCUUCUAGCUAGUUGAAUUCAGGCUUCAAUUUCCUUACUUUUGAUGGACUUGGGUUGCUGAUGUCAUUGAUGAUCAAAAAGCAGUUUCAGAAAUGUACAUGUUGGUCAAUCAGGGAGUUUUUAAACUGUGGGAAACUCUCUCCUACAUCAAACACAGCGUGAGGACCAUUUUGAAGGCGCUUGUAAACCUGAUAAGAACUUAAACUCCAGGUUGGUUGGAGUUCUCUCGUAGUUGUUAACAUUUCUUUGAUCACUUUUAUAACAAGUAGUGUCCAAAUGGCAGAAUUAGAAAUGUUUUCAUACAUAUUACCUGCUCUCUACUUCUCCUUUCAUCUGCUAGGUAAGGAAUUGCCAGCGGCUAGUAGUUGGCUUCAUUGUCCACAAAACAAGCUCUGGUGAAACCAGCUUGAGUAUGGUUACAGCUUUAUUUGUACUUCUUAUUUAUUUUACUGGUUUUGCUCUGUGAAAGAAGAUUUGUUUCACUUUAUAUAAAACCCCACAAGAAAAAGGGGUACCAUAACAUUUUUCACCAGUACCAAGGGAGGUGACCCUAAUCAAGGUGACACGUUAUUUCAGUGCCACUCACAGUUCUUGUGUUACAGGUAACAAAUACACUCAUUUCUGGUGCAGUUGGAAGAAAAGGGAUACAACCUCCCUCCUCCUCCCAGCCCUCUGCUUUCUGCUGCAACAGUGCUUUAAUUGUGCUGGUGACAGUAGAUACUCCUGGUACUUGCCCAAAUCUCUGCUGACUGUGCUUUCAAACCAAGAAAUGAUUUUGCUGCAGAGAAAAGGAUUUUAUUGUCACUAGAAGAAAAUAUUUGCAAUCACUAGGAUAUCUUGCAGUGUUUCAUUGAAUUUCCUGAAAACCAUGCACAGCUUUGAUUCUAGUGACGAGCAGUCCUGAUGGAGAGUGUACAUGGGAUCUGAUUUAUUUCCUUUAAUUAUCUUUGUGCACUGCAAGUCCUUCCCAAAUCACAAAAUGUACUGGAGGCACCACGCUACUAAAUUAUACUUGGUCUUGUUCUGAGGGUACAAAGGAAAAGGCGUCAGAUAUUGUAUGAGAAAGUUUCAGAACACAAGGUCACUUUAAUUCAGACUUUAUUUUCCAAGGAACUAUCAUUUCUAAGCUUUGAUAUUUUGUUCAGAGAGGUCAUUUCUUUUAAGCCUUUGUCAUUAAAGAAGACUUGUUCUUUAAAGCGCGCUAUCAAAGGGUGCAGAAAUUGCAAGUUACUGAAGCUAAAACGCAUGAUCAAUUUUAAGUCUGCCAACUACAGCCCACUUAAAGUUCGAUGUGCUCUGGGACUGGUGGCUUCUUUGAUGGAGCCAGUGGAAGAUGUGCAGUUGGUCAACUCAAACCAAAAAAAGAUAAUUCAAUAACAUUUUUCCUCCCUAAAUUAGAAAUCGUUUUGUGUGAAAAAGCAUUGAAAGAACUGAAUAAGGAUCUGAUCCUGCAAAAACGUGUCUUGUGUGAGAGGACAGGGAGUGCGCGGCGUUUGGGAGCAGCUUGUACCACUUUGACAUAGGAAUGACGCAGCUCCCUUUUGUGUUAUCUGACAUUUGUAAUAAUGUAAAUAAGGCAAGCUCCUGGACAAAGUAUCACUUAUUUACCACUUGCUACCACAAGAUGAUCUCUCCUUCACUGACAGGCAAACAUGGGAACAGAGAAGAGUGAAGCUCUUGUGUCAUGCGCUUGUUUGCAGCCCCUGAUCCUGACCUCUGCUGAUGCAGCCUUUAUUCCAUGAACCUGUAUUAUGUCAGCACAUGUAUCACACUUAGUCUCAGUACUUAGGACUGAAAACAAGGAAACGUGUGUUUGUAGAGUGAGCAAAGUAAAGGAAUACCUUAAUCUCAGCUGGGCAGUUAGGUUACACCACUUCCAACUUCAUAACCUCUAUUCACCAGAUUUAUACUUUAGGAAUCUUCUUUUUCUCCCAUUUGAAACGUGGUAUCAAAGUUUAAUAACAGGCAGAUUUGGCCAUCAUUUCAAAAGAAGGUUGUUCGUCCUAAUUCUGUGGUGUUCUUAUUUAAGCCAAACUAAUGCUGAAGUUCACUUUGUCCAGUUUUGCCCAAAAAGGCUUCAAGGAAUUUAUUAAAAUUCUAGACCUAGAAUCCAUAAGAAAUCUGUCUGUCAGAGUGAUCCUGAGCUGAAAUUGAGGAUUCGGUAAUACCACCUUUGUC